rnacentral:lncRNA from 1 species
GCUAUCUGAACAUUAAGAACUAUAUUUCGUUAGUUCAAUGUCACCAGAACAACGCAGCAUACUGUUGUUUUUGCAGUGAAGUAAAUAUAUGCACGAACAGAUGGUGUUUUUAGCGGCAGAAAAUGCAUGAACACGAUUAAUAAGUAAGUAGGAAUUCAGAGAAACCAAACUAGUUUUUAUACAUGCAACAAAAGGCUUU